GACGAACGCUGGCGGCGUGCUUAACACAUGCCAGUCGAACGGUAAGGCCCUUUCGGGGGUACACGAGUGGCGCACGGGUGAGUAACACGUGGGUGAUCUGCCCUGCACUUUGGGAUAAGCCUGGGAAACUGGGUCUAAUACCGGAUAGGACUACGCGAUGCAUGUCGUGUGGUGGAAAGCUUUUGCGGUGUGGGAUGGGCCCGCGGCCUAUCAGCUUGUUGGUGGGGUGAUGGCCUACCAAGGCGACGACGGGUAGCCGGCCUGAGAGGGUGUCCGGCCACACUGGGACUGAGAUACGGCCCAGACUCCUACGGGAGGCAGCAGUGGGGAAUAUUGCACAAUGGGCGCAAGCCUGAUGCAGCGACGCCGCGUGGGGGAUGACGGCCUUCGGGUUGUAAACCCCUUUCAGCACAGACGAAGCGUAAGUGACGGUAUGUGCAGAAGAAGCACCGGCCAACUACGUG
rnacentral:rRNA from 1 species